GACGAACGCUGGCGGCGUGCUUAACACAUGCAAGUAGAACGCAAAGGCACUGCCUUUGUGGGGUGCUCGAGUGGCGAACGGGUGAGUAACACGUGAGUAACCUGCCCUUUACCUGGGGAUAACUUCUGGAAACUGGAGCUAAUACCGCAUAAGAGCACCUGCUGCAUGGUAGUGGCUGGAAAGUUUCGGCGGCUUGGGUAGUACGCGCGGCUUCUUUGCUUGUUGGUGGGGUAGUGGUUUACCAAGGCGUGGACGGGUAGCCGGACUGAGAGUGUGACCGGGCACAGUGGGACACGGGAGGGACCCGGACGGCUACUGGAGGCAGGAGUGGGGGUUAGAGCGCGAUGGGCGGAGUGAGUGAGCAGGAACGCCGGGUGCGAGAGGACGGUUGUAGGGGUGGAAAGAGUGUGCGAGUGGAAAGAAGAGAGAGUGACGGUAAUUUGUAAGGAAGCACCGGCUAACUACGUG
rnacentral:rRNA from 1 species